CGGAUUGCAGCCUGCAACUCGGCUGCAUGAAGCUGGAAUCGCUAGUAAUCGCGAAUCGGCAUGUCGCGGUGAAUACGUUCCCGGGUCUUGUACACACCGCCCGUCACACCAUGGGAGUCGGAAAUGCCCGAAGCCGGUGACCCAACCAAAAGGAGGGAGCCGUCGAAGGCAGGUCUGAUAACUGGGGUGAAGUCGUAACAAGGUAUC
rnacentral:rRNA from 1 species